rnacentral:misc_RNA from 1 species
CACCAAUCAAGCCUGGCUUGGUGUUGGGCCCCGGGGGUGACCCGGACCUCAAUAUCCGCCGGCCGGACGACCCGGACCCCAGCGUUAAGGCACUGUCACAAGUUCCGCUGGAGGGGACGGGGCGGCCGCGCCGUUACGAAACGCGUCGGCUCGCCGACGAAA